rnacentral:rRNA from 1 species
AACGAACGCUGGCGGCAGGCCUAACACAUGCAAGUCGAGCGAGGACUUCGGUCCUAGCGGCGGACGGGUGAGUAACGCGUGGGAACGUGCCCUUUGCUUCGGAAUAGCCCUGGGAAACUGGGAGUAAUACCGGAUGAGCCCUUUGGGGGUAAGAUUUAUCGGCGAAGGAUCGGCCCGCGUUGGAUUAGGUAGUUGGUGGGGUAAUGGCCUACCAAGCCGACGAUCCAUAGCUGGUUUGAGAGGAUGAUCAGCCACACUGGGACUGAGACACGGCCCAGACUCCUACGGGAGGGAGGAGUGGGGAAUCUUAGAGAAUGGAGGAAAACCUGAUCUAGCCAUGCCGGGUAAGCGAUGAAGGCCUUAGGGUUGUAAAGCUCUUUGAGCUGGGAAGAUAAUGACGGUACCAGCAGAAGAAGCCCCGGCUAACUACGUG